rnacentral:misc_RNA from 1 species
GAUGAAGAACGCAGCGAAAUGCGAUACGUAGUGUGAAUUGCAGAAUUCAGUGAAUCAUCGAAUCUUUGAACGCACAUUGCGCCCUUUGGUAUUCCAAAGGGCAUACCUGUUCGAGCGUCAUUUGUACCCUCAAGCUUUGCUUGGUGUUGGGCGUCUUGUCUCCAGUCCGCUGGAGACUCGCCUUAAAGUCAUUGGCAGCCGGCCUACUGGUUUCGGAGCGCAGCACAAGUCGCACUCUUUUCCAGCCAAGGUCAGUGUCCAACAAGCCUUUUUUCAACUUUUGACCUCGGAUCAGGUAGGGAUACCCGCUGAACUUAAGCAUAUCAAUAAGCGGAGGA